rfam:Salmo salar isolate Sally breed double haploid chromosome ssa10, whole genome shotgun sequence.
GUUGGAUAUGGAGACAUGUGCCCGGUUACUAUUGGUGGCAAAAUAGUGGGAUCUAUGUGUGCCAUCGCAGGAGUGUUGACCAUAGCCCUACCUGUCCCUGUUAUCGUGUCCAAU